rnacentral:lncRNA from 1 species
CAUAGAAAAUGAUAGUGCGAGAGAGGCAUCCGUGUACUAUGGACACAUUCUUGUGAUUAACUAAGUAUGAUUUUCCUUGAAACAAGGUAUAAGUAUCUGUGUUGUCCAUUCGGGUGAAACAUAGUAAGACGACAUAUUCUAUUAGUUUAUCUUUAGGUUUGGAAUGGGAAAAUAUGUGUGUAAGGUGUUGAAAUGUCAAUUGCAUAAUACCAUACCAUUACAUGAGGAAUGAAUGUAUGUACUAUCAAAGAUAUCUGAAAUUUUCUAGGAUACACAUCUGAUUCACAACACUCAAUCAGUAGGAAGCUCACAAUAAUUCUGAAGCUAGGCUUUGAUUAUUGAUACAAUUGUGUCUUUGGUUUGGAAUGAGGAUUCGGGGAGCAUUCAAAGACUCGUUAAUAUAACGUUGUGAGUAAUGACAAUUCAGUGAUUAAGAUAUCCAAUACAAACAAAGAAUAUCCAGUUUUUCAUAUUUGGAUGAAAUUCCAAAUUCCAAAUGCCUAUACUACACACACUUACAAAAACUAAUAAGAAAGGUACAUGUUUUAAAUGGCGGCUCUGUAUUUCAAAGGGUUUGGCCUCGAUGGAUGAGUGAACUAAGUAGUAGAACUACUUUAUCACUAGCCUGUCAACACUGAGGUUGUGAGUUCGAAUCCCGCAGAUGACCGGCGCUCGAAUACAAUAUUAAUUGAAUAGAUUUGCCAGUUUUCCUUCAAAAAGUCGGUGGUUCAUUACGGGCACAACGGCUUUCUCAAUCAAUAAAAACUGACAACCACGAAAUAGCACAAUAGUGCGGAAAGUGGCGUCUAACACAAAUUAAAUAACCAAUCAUUUCAAAGUGAAAUUAAAAAACUCAAAACGUAGCA